CACUCCUACGGGAGGCAGCAGUGGGGAAUAUUGGACAAUGGGCGCAAGCCUGAUCCAGCCAUGCCGCGUGAGUGAUGAAGGCCCUAGGGUUGUAAAGCUCUUUCACCGGUGAAGAUAAUGACGGUAACCGGAGAAGAAGCCCCGGCUAACUUCGUGCCAGCAGCCGCGGUAAUACGAAGGGGGCUAGCGUUGUUCGGAUUUACUGGGCGUAAAGCGCACGUAGGCGGACUAUUAAGUCAGGGGUGAAAUCCCGGGGCUCAACCCCGGAACUGCCUUUGAUACUGGUAGUCUUGAGUUCGAGAGAGGUGAGUGGAAUUCCGAGUGCAGAGGUGAAAUUCGUAGAUAUUCGGAGGAACACCAGUGGCGAAGGCGGCUCACUGGCUCGAUACUGACGCUGAGGUGCGAAAGCGUGGGGAGCAAACAGGAUUAGAAACCCGUGUAGUCCCAUGA
rnacentral:rRNA from 1 species